CUGAAGAAAAAGCAUCGGCUAACUCCGUGCCAGCAGCCGCGGUAAUACGGAGGAUGCAAGCGUUAUCCGGAAUCAUUGGGCGUAAAGGGUCCGCAGGUGGCGAAUAAAGUCUGCUGUUAAAGACCGGGGCUUAACUCCGGAAAGGCAGUGGAAACUGAUUAGCUAGAGUACGGUAGGGGUAGAGGGAAUUCCCAGUGUAGCGGUGAAAUGCGUAGAUAUUGGGAAGAACACCGGUGGCGAAAGCGCUCUACUAGGCCGAAACUGACACUGAGGGACGAAAGCUAGGGUAGCGAAAGGGAUUAGAUACCCCUGUAGUCUUAGCGGUAAACGAUGGAUACUAGGUGUAGCUUGUAUCGACCCAAGCUGUGCCGAAGCUAACGCGAUAAGUAUCCCGCCUGGGGAGUACGCACGCAAGUGUGAAACCCAAAGGAAUUGACGGGGGCCCGCACAAGCGGUGGAGUAUGUGGUUUAAUUCGAUGCGACGCGAAGAACCUUACCAGGGCUUGACAUGUCGCGAAUCUAGCGGAAACGUUAGAGUGCCUUAGGGAAUGCGAACACAGGUGGUGCAUGGCUGUCGUCAGCUCGUGUCGUGAGAUGUUGGGUUAAGUCCCGCAACGAGCGCAACCCUCGUCCUUAGUUGCCAAUAUUAAGUUAGGCACUCUAGGGAGACUGCCGGGGACAACUCGGAGGAAGGUGGGGAUGACGUCAAGUCAGCAUGCCCCUUACGUCCUGGGCGACACACGUACUACAAUGGUUGGGACAAAGGGCAGCAAGCUCGCGAGAGUAAGCGAAUCUCAUCAAACCCAGCCACAGUUCAGAUUGCAGGCUGCAACUCGCCUGCAUGAAGUAGGAAUCGCUAGUAAUCGCAGGUCAGCAUACUGCGGUGAAUUCGUUCCCGGGCCUUGUACACACCGCCCGUCACACCAUGGAAGCUGGCUACGCCCGAAGUCGUUACCCUAACCCGGUUUUGGGAGGGGGAUGCCGAAGGUAGAGCUAGUGACUGGGGUGAAGUCGUAACAAGGUAGCCGUACCGGAAGGUGUGGCUGGAUCACCUCCUUUACAGGGAGACCUAGUCUAAUUACCAAUAGAUGAAAAAGUUGGUAAUUCGCAAGAAUCCUUAGGUCGUGAAGGGAGCAAGAAAAAACUUUCAAACUGUAAUGGGUGAGGGUACUCGGGCUAUUAGCUCAGGUGGUUAGAGCGCACCCCUGAUAAGGGUGAGGUCCCUGGUUCAAGUCCAGGAUGGCCCACCUGAAAUACACAGGCAGGAUGCCACAAAAAAAGGAAAAAAUUUUAGCAUUGUCUCUUGUAAUCAAGAGCAAGAGAUAAUGCUGGAAUCUAUUCC
rnacentral:misc_RNA from 1 species